AAUUCAAUUCUCUCAAAUUAAACCCUGAUUAUUUUAAAACACCAUAACUCAUUGCUGCACGUCUUUCUUUCUCUGACUAACCUCUCUGCAAAUUCAAGAACCUCUAUCAAUGCGAUUUCCUUUCUGCCCAUUGAAUAUUCAGGUUUGUGUUAUUGUUUUUUCUAUUUAAUGGCGUUUAAUUGCUGAAAUUUUUUCCCUUCUUGUUCUAAUUUUUUGAUUCUCCAUCUUCUUCUCAUAUAUCAUCAAUGAGUAAGUGGUGGAAAAUCGCGAAUUGGUUGCUGAAAUCUCGAAUUGUGUAUUGAAAUUUCCGAGUGGAAAUGCGUCAGGUGUUGAUAAUUCGAAGGGAUUUACGUACGGCUCAAUUGUGUGCUGAAAUUUCUGAGAGCUAGAUGGCAAGUCAUCAAGCAUAGGAGAAGUGGCAGAAAGGAGAUUAUUGGCUCAUGUUCUGUCUUCUUAUCUUGUCUCUAAGACGCCGCCUUUCCCUUUCUUUCUCCCUCCGCAUUGCGUGUGCAUCCAAUCUUUCUGCUUGCUGCUUUGAACUCAUUCCCCUUUUCCUCUGCGAAAAGAUCGAAACUUGAACUAGUGUUGCACAUCAUGUUUGAAAAAACAAAGUGCUUUCAUAGAGUUUGCAUGACAAAUUAAGCUGGCUGCAGAAUUUCCAUUACAUUGUCAAGAUUUUAGAUUUGUCGAUGAAAACUCAAAACAUGUCACUCAUUCAUACAUACUACACUUAUAUAAAUUUUUUGUUUAUUAUUCAUUGCUUGUCCACCGACAGUAGGACCCUUAGAACUGUUUUUCCAUUCCAUGUAUAAAUUCGGUUAUAGCAUUAGAAUGUCUGUUUCUUCUACUUGAUCACUCUUGAAAAUAUUCUGUUUAUUAUUCAUUGCUUGUCCACCGACAGUAGGACCCUUAGAAUUGUUUCUCCAUUCCAUGUAUAAGUUCGGUUAUAGCAUUAGAAUGUCUGUUACUUCUACUUGAUCACUCUUGAACUGUGAAGCAACACUACUAAAAGUGUUUAUAAGAGAGAUUACUAAAAGUGUUCAUAGGAAAUAGCUUUUUAUUAUUAUUUGCAAGUCUGCAAAAACAUUAUAAACCUGUGAAUUCUUUCCUUUUAUUGCGAGCUUACUAACUUCCAACAAUAUAAACCUGUGAAUUCUCACCCAUCCGUUUCUAAGAUUCGAUGCCUUAUCCACAAAGAGUCAACCUUGGUGUUUCCAAACCGGACCCUGAAAUAUUGUUUGGUGGUGACCACUUCGAAAUUCAAAACCUUACAAAAUCCCGUAGGGAGAAUUUACAAAAAACACCCCUACAACUAACCAUAUGUAUUGCUGAUUUCGCACCAUCUUAAAGGUCUGAUGAAAAAUUUCCUUUGUGUACUUCCUUCAAAACCUGUCCGAAAGAACCAAUCAUUUUAAAUGACUGCGUUGUUUCAUCAAACUUCAUAUUUAGCUUUAUUUGUGUUGCAAGGUCCUGAUUUUGCUUCUUUGCAACAAAUAGUUCACCACUUAUGUUCUCCACUGCCAUGACACUAUUGUUAACAUAUCUUGACCUUUGUUUUCUUAUAAAACCUUCCACUUCAUAGAUGUCACUUUACUUCACUACACACCCACACAUAUACAUAUACAUAUAUAUAUGUAUAUGUAUAUGUAUAUACAUAUUUAUAUAUACAUAUGUAUAUAUAUAUACAUAUAUGUAUAUAAUCAGUUGGAGAUUGCACAAAUUCAAUAGUGAAAACUGAAUAUCAGUUGAAAAUUUCAAAGGUUUUGGCCAACUAAAUCCCGUGUUUCGGAAUAACUUACAAAAUUAUGGUUUCAAGUUAAGUAUUCUGCUGUAUUUCGUAUGGACAUUCAGGACUUCGUGAUUGUUAACAUUCAACAAUCAAUAGAUUAGAGCAAGAUUGAAUUAGCUCAAUGCAAUGGAUACAAUAAAUUGAUGAGAGAGUGUGCCCUCCUCAAAGCAUCCAUCUUCUUUGGCAUAAACUGAUUUGUAAAAUGCUAAUUCGUUAAACUCUCCUUUCUUCUCUUUCUGCAAUUUUAGGAAACAAAUAAAUAAACAAACUUGUGGAGUAGGGGCUGAUUGAGCAUAUUUGUGUUUUACGUUCCUAUCUACUUAGAAUCUAUAUAAAGUGAUAUGCAACAAUUCAAAGAAGGUAUAAAAUCAUACAAAAUAAACUCUUCGACUAGCAAAGCUUGUAGCACCACUCUUGUGAAAACGACCUUGUAAUGCUCAAGCAUUUUUUCCUUGUUCGUAUUUUUCUUAAUUUCAACAAAUCAAUCGUAGCAUGGAUAAAACUAAUUAAACUUAUUAAAUUUAGAAUCUUUCGGGGUCACGAACCCUAGCCUUUGGUGUUAACCAAAUCCAACCAACUUCUAGUGGAGACUGCAUCAGGCAGAUUGGUGAAGUUCUGUUCUGGAGAUUUGACUAGAUUGAUCCAAUUUUUCUUCAUUGUGUAUCUAUGAUGUUGCCAUGGUCUGUCCAUACGCUUUAAAAAAGAUUUGUUAACUAGCUCCCCAUCAGGUAUCACAAAAUUUUUCUUCAAAGAAAAAGGGAAAUCGAGAUAAUAGUACAAAUUAGUAACUUUUCAUUAUACUAAAGAAAAACAAGUUUUGUUCACUCUUCAGGAAUGACAGUUAUGAAAAAUAUGCAUGAAAAUCGCAUAUGAAUCAGAGGACAAGUGGCCUAUAACAAUCCAAAGGAUGUUUAAAGACAUAAUAGAGGCAAUCCAGAACGAUAUGGAUUUCUUGCUUUUCCUCUAAAGGAAUUUCACACUAAGGUUCAUUAAUUCUGUAGUGAAAGGCAAGAACCUUGCCUCACUUCCUACUGCUCAUAACUCAACUUGGGUAGUGAGGAAGAUUUUGUAUGAUUUUCAAUAUUUAUAUGAGCUUUCUGAUGGUAGAAACACAUUGCAACAACCUGAGUUUUCUAUCAACAAGGUGUAUAAGAAGCUAAGAAGCAAUCAUGAAUUCUAUAUGUUCUUUGAGUGUGAGUUUGCUUCUGAAAUUUGGGGUUCUGUCAGCAGGAAAGGAAGGAAUUGGAUCUCUUUCCACUUCAUCUGUUAUUAUUCACUAAGAUUUUGUGCACUUGGCUUAAACAAAACUCCACACACUCUACCCAACUUCCUCACAUCUCUUUCUCCCAUGUAUCCUUUAGGAACUAUGUCUAAGAAGAAAUUUAGCCAUCUUUCAAGAAACACAAAAACCACCUAACAUAUGCCGAGGGAAAGACUUUCAAUUUGGCAUGGGGAUACUUCUCCUUAAAACUACAAAAUCAACCUAUUCCCCCCCCCCCCCCCCAAACACUAAUCAGAAGUGGCAAUAUUAUAAAGAUAAUUAUAAUGUCUCAUUCUCAAGGGAGAUAGACUGUGCAGGUGUUGCACGGUUUUUAGAAACAGUGGUCAUGCUAAGUCUGCACAUGCCCGUCUCAUCAUACACAUAUUAUAGAAGGCACAAGAAAAAGGGUAAAGAGGUCAGCAAUGAUGAGGUCAAAGAUGGAACCACAUGAGUAAUCCAAAGAAAGAUUCCUUCACAUAUUAUUCUGUCAAGCUGGCAGAGGUUUGUUAGAAGGUGGUUAUAGAGAGAAGGGUAGUGAGAGAGUAGAGUAUUUGUGUAUAAAUAGUAGGUCUCUAUCUUUGUAAAGGCAUCCAGAAAUUAAGAAGAGUGUAUUUGGUUUAUGGAGGGUCCUUACCUCUCGAAUAGUAAGGAAUUGUAAUAGUGAAUUUGUUGUGUACUUGCUAAAUACAAUUAAUUAUCCCCUGGUUUCUUA